rnacentral:tRNA from 1 species
GACUCUGUGGCGCAACCGGUAGCGCGUCUGACUCCCAGAUCAGAAGGCUGCGUGUUCAAAUCACGUCAGAGUUA